rnacentral:rRNA from 1 species
UGGGGAAUUUUGGACAAUGGGCGAAAGCCUGAUCCAGCAAUGCCGCGUGUGUGAAGAAGGCCUUCGGGUUGUAAAGCACUUUUGUCCGGAAAGAAAUGGCUCUGGUUAAUACCUGGGGUCGAUGACGGUACCGGAAGAAUAAGGACCGGCUAACUACGUGCCAGCAGCCGCGGUAAUACGUAGGGUCCAAGCGUUAAUCGGAAUUACUGGGCGUAAAGCGUGCGCAGGCGGUUGUGCAAGACCGAUGUGAAAUCCCCGAGCUUAACUUGGGAAUUGCAUUGGUGACUGCACGGCUAGAGUGUGUCCGAGGGGGGUAGAAUUCCACGUGUAGCAGUGAAAUGCGUAGAGAUGUGGAGGAAUACCGAUGGCGAAGGCAGCCCCCUGGGAUAACACUGACGCUCAUGCACGAAAGCGUGGGGAGCAAACAGG